GGGGGUGUAAAUGGUUUCGACAUGCAGCGGGUAAUAGUAGCAUCAGUGGUCUGGUAAACCUAAAUACUUCUAGGCUUUAUAGUCGCAAACAAAAAAGACGAAGUUCAAGUUGAACUUAAAGACUUGCUAGCAGCUAACGCUCUACAAGCACAAUCAAACCUAGUUUUUGCGUAAUUUUGCAAUCUAGUGCAUCAAUAUCAAUGCCUUAGGUUAUUGGUGUGGUUUUAAGGCUCGGUUAGAAAUAGGCACACUAUUCUAGCUUAAAUUCAAGUGCACUAAAAGCGUUUAUUUUGUUUAUUUCUAAAUGCUUUUAGAACUCAAAAAUAAACUAAACUGUAAAAAGUGCUGCUAUGUCUUGUUGUGUGGACACGGGUUCAACUCCCGUCAUCUCCACCA
rnacentral:tmRNA from 1 species